ACAACACAAACACACUGCGUACCAUGCGACGUGCGCGCUGCGCGCGCAGCAGAGCCUCACUUUUGGAGGCCCCUCAUCUCUCCCGUGUGUGGCACCCCCGCGAAAAACAAAACAACUCGAACUCGAAGGGAAUUCAAAAUUUGAAUUGAGGUUAGAAUCCCAACAUUACUCGAUGACGACCUGCGGAGGUCCACAACGGCUGAUGUCAUCACUCGACAUCACCGUACGGUAGUUACGGUAGUUUUUGGGUACCGGACGAGCAAAGCCCCGCCCAUUUUGAUCGACAUCACUCGACAUCACGCAAACAAAACACGAGUGAUGACAUCAAAAUCGCCUGUGAUGCUGAAACAAAACAGCACUCAUGUUACUUUCAAGUCUUUCAUAAUGUGCGACACAGGUAGGUUUCGAGUCUCCUGCAUUAUUAGCGAAUACUUAAAGUUUAUCAGGCUCGAUGCUAUUCUGUCAACAUCGAAGGAUACAAUGUGCUUUCCCAAUGCUAAUUUAAAGGAAACUUCAGAUAGCAAAGAGUUGUUAGGCAGGAUUUUCAAUAUUCUGGUGGGAGGGUCAAACGACAGAGGAAAGAAAACCACUCAAGGUUAAGUGCUUUAGAACGACUGAAGGCCAUCCAAAGUGGAGCUUCCAAGUCCAAAUAUGAGCUUGAACCUCUGGAGUCAGUGUAUGAGGAAGUUAGUGAAAAAGAGUACUCCAAAAAAGUCAUCGAAAGGCAAGAAGAUGACUGGAUUGUGGAUGAUGAUGGUGCUGGGUAGGUGGAGGAUGGACGUGAAAUUUUUGAUGACGACCUUGAUGAGGAAUCAAUCCAAACCAGGAAGAAGCAGAAACCACGAUCAUCCAAGAAGCGCGACAGAGAUUCAGUUGCUGCUGAAUCAAUGCCUGGUCCCAAAGGCGACAUUAAGAAGCUUUGGCAAAUAUGCCAUCUAAAAAGAAAAAAGAGGUAGAUUUAACUUUCUUUUGUCUUGAUUGAAUUUGUGCUAUGUUCAAGGUCUUUUUUUCC
rnacentral:lncRNA from 1 species